rnacentral:rRNA from 1 species
UACGAAGGGAGCUAGCGUUGUUCGGAAUCACUGGGCGUAAAGCGCACGUAGGCGGAUGUGUCAGUCAGGGGUGAAAUCCCGGAGCUCAACUUCGGAACUGCCUUUGAUACAGCACGUCUUGAGUCCGAUAGAGGUGGGUGGAAUUCCUAGUGUAGAGGUGAAAUUCGUAGAUAUUAGGAAGAACACCGGUGGCGAAGGCGGCCCACUGGAUCGGUACUGGACGCUGAGGUGCGAAAGCGUGGGGAGCGAACAGG